rnacentral:rRNA from 1 species
UAAUUGCGAUUUCCAAGCUAUUAGAUGGAUGACUAGGUUUGAGUACCGAAGAAGGACGCAGCAAGUUGCGAUAAUCGGAGGGUAGGCGCAGACGGCCGUUGAUCUUCCGGUUUCUGAAUGCGUGAUGCAUGUGCGUAUGCACAUAUCUGUGUGUAAAAGCAUAGAGGGAUACGCAGGGAAUUAAAACAUUUUAGUACCUGCAGGAAAAGAAAUCAAUAGAGAUUCCCCUAGUAAUGGCGAACGAAAAGGGAACAGAACGAUCCGAAUCCGCAGCAAUGCGGAGAUGUGGUGCGGGUCUUGGUCAUUUUGGAUCUGCCGAAAUCAACUGGAAUGUUGGGCCAUAGAGAGUGACAGCCUCGUAGGCUUUGAAGGAAUGACCAUCCGCGUUGAGUAGCAGAGGUCGAAACUCUUCUGUGAAGGUGGGUGUCAAAAACAUCCAAUUCUAAAUAUAACUCAAAACCGAUAGCGAACAGUAGCGUGAGCGAAGGUUGAAAAGCACUCCUGACGAGAGGGUGAAAAGAGCCUGAAAUCUAAUAGUUAUAGUUGUUGCGGCGCGUCGUGAACCUACGAAAAAGUAAGUAGGCUCAAGUGUUGCAACAUCCUUUUAGCAUAAAGGGGCAGGGAGUUUGCGUGUAUGGCGAGGCUAACCUCAAAGGGAUGCCAAAGCGAAAGCGAACAUGGUUUUCCAUGUCGGUAGGAAACUGCCGCAAGUCAUAUGCGCAAGACCCGAAGCUGCACGAUCUAUGCGUGUGCAGGGCGAAGUGGGAAUUACUUCUCAUGGAGGCCCGAACAGGUGGGGAACUAACUCCUCUGUUGAUGCACGUAUAGGAGCGAAAAACUAAUCGUGCGCAGCGAUAGCUGGUUCCCCUCGAAAUAUCCCAUAGGAUAGCUUAUACCUAUGUAUGCAGACGGUAAAGCAACCGAAGAUACAGAUAGGAACCGAAAGGUUUCACUGUAUUAUCAAACUCAGAAUGUUUGCAUAUGAAGGGUAUUUGUUGGGCGUAUGGCGUAAAGUUGUACACCGAGAAGGAAAAAACCUAGACAUGGGUUAAGGCCCUUAAGUAUCUACUAAGUGCAUUAAAAAGGAGUUGCAUCUAAAACAGCUGGGAGGUGGGCUCAGAAGCGGCCAUCCUUUAAAAAGUGUGUUAUAACUUACCAGCCUAGAUGUAAUGACUUUAAAAUGGACGGGGCUAAGUAGAUCGCCGAUACCCAUGACCUCGAAAGAGGUGGUAGAGGGGCGAGCUGAUAGGCUAGAAAGUUUUCCGUGAGGGAAACCGGACCUUUCAGUUUUGAGAAUCCUGCUGGAAGUAGCAAAUUGAUGGGUGAGAAUCCCAUCUGCCGCAAGUGUAAGGUUUCCUUGUUUAAGAUUAUCUAACAAGGGUUAGUCGGUCCUAAGUUCAGCUUCGAAAGGAGCUGGGCAAAAGGGAAAGGGGUUAAUAUUCCUCCACUAAAGUGGAUCUAUCCGUCGUUACGGGUAAGGGUACGCGGGGUAGCCCAGUCAGGCUAUGUGCGUAUGUGAGGUGAUGGAGAAACAUAAUGUUGAGAAGUCACUGAAAUGUAUGUGCCGCAGCGAUGCGCUCGCAGACCCCAUGCUCCAAUGAAAAUACGGCGGUUACUGUCCAUUUUAACCGUACCGAAUACCGACACAGGUGCACUGGCUCAGAAGGCUAAGGCAAGGGAAUUAAACCGAGCAAGGGAAAUCGGCAAAUUAGUCUCGUAAGUUAGCGAGAAGAGAUCCCUGAUCCGGUCAAAAGCUGGAUCAGGGCGCAGUGACUAGGGGAGCCCAACUGUUUACUAAAUGCAUAGCUGACUGCUAGAGAGCAAUCUUUUGUACAGUCGGCGACAUCUGCCCAGCAUAGGUAUCCGAAAACUUGUUUCAACGGGUAUAAGGACCUAUUAGCGGCGGAGGUAACUGUGACCUUUGGGCUC